CGCUAUCACUCCUACGGGAGGCAGCAGUGGGGAAUAUUGCACAAUGGGGGAAACCCUGAUGCAGCCAUGCCGCGUGUGUGAAGAAGGCCUUCGGGUUGUAAAGCACUUUCAGUAGGGAGGAAGGUAGUGUAGUUAACACCUGCAUUAUUUGACGUUACCUACAGAAGAAGCACCGGCUAACUCCGUGCCAGCAGCCGCGGUAAUACGGAGGGUGCGAGCGUUAAUCGGAAUUACUGGGCGUAAAAGCGCAUGCAGGCGGCCUGUUAAGUCAGAUGUGAAAGCCCGGGGCUUAACCUCGGAAUUGCAUUUGAAACUGGCAGGCUAGAGUCUUGUAGAGGGGGUAGAAUUUCAGGUGUAGCGGUGAAAUGCGUAGAGAUCUGAAGGAAUACCAGUGGCGAAGGCGGCCCCCUGGACAAAGACUGACGCUCAGAUGCGAAAGCGUGGGGAGCAAACAGGAUUAGAUACCCUGGUAG
rnacentral:rRNA from 1 species